GACGAACGCUGGCGGCGUGCUUAACACAUGCAAGUCGAACGGAAAGGCCCUGCUUGCCGGGUACUCGAGUGGCGAACGGGUGAGUAACACGUGGGUGAUCUGCCCUGCACUUCGGGGUAAGCCUGGGAAACGGGGUCUAAUACCGGAUAGGAGACAUUUUUAGUGUGAGGGUUGGAAAGUUUUUUCGGUGUAGGAUGAGCUCGCGGCCUAUCAGCGGGUUGGUGGGGUAAUGGGCUACCAAGGCGGCGACGGGUAGCCCGCCUGUGGGGGUGGGCGGCCACCUUGGGACUGAGGUACGGCCCAGACUCCUACGGGAGGCCGCUGUGGGGAAUCUUGCACAAUGGGCGCCAGCCUGAUGCAGCGACGCCUCGUGGUGGAUGACGGUCUUCGGGUUGUAAACUCCUUUCGCUAGGGACGAAGCUUUUUGUGACGGUACCUAGAUAAUAAGCACCGGCUAACUACGUG
rnacentral:rRNA from 1 species